UCCCAGGUGGCUCAGUGGUAAAGAAUCUGCCUGCAGUGCAGGAGACCCAGGUUCAAUCCUGCAUUGGGAG
rnacentral:tRNA from 1 species